CCCUUAGAUGUUCGGGGCCGCACGCGCGCUACACUGAGUGUCUGAGAUACGAGUCUGCCUGGUCCGGCAAGGUCUAGGUAAUCGCUAAAAGACACAUCAUGCUUGGGAUAGAUUAUUGCAAAUAUUAAUCUUGAACGAGGAAUUCCUAGUAAGCGCAAGUCAACAGCUUGCGUUGAUUACGUCCCUGCCCUUUGUACACACCGCCCGUCGCUACUACUGAUUGGAUGUUUAAGCGAGGUUCUCGAACUGCUAGCGACUUAGCUUCGGUGAGGUCGCAGUGUGGGAAGUGAACCUAGCUUUGGUGUCUAGAGGAAGUAAAAGUCGUAACA
rnacentral:rRNA from 1 species